rnacentral:lncRNA from 1 species
UCGUCAAAUUCGUCAGAUUUGUCGAGAGAUUUGUGCACAUGAAUGAAAUAGUUGUCACUUGACGUUUAACUACAAACAAAAUCAAUCAACCGACAUAAUAGAUUAACAGUAUACUAUUCCAAGAAGAGAACCUCAUAUACAUUUUUUUUUAUUAAAAGGCACAAAUGAAUUUAGACAUGUCAGUGUUGGUACAUGUACUUGGAUGAUGCAGCCUAAUAGUUUUGUUUUACCCACCCUAGUGACUGUUCAAUAUUAUGAAUACAGAGAUGAAACGCUGACAUUCUCAAUUGAUGCGGAAAAAAAAUUGCAUUAAUUGUUUUCCUUAUUGCUUACAUUUGCCGUCCUACUAAAAUGUUCACAGGUGUGCAAGGAGAAGACAUAAAGGCGCCAUCCCUACAGCGGUCAUUUUUUUUAUACAUUGAAUCCAGACAUAAAAAAUAUGGCUGAUUUACUAUGCGGAUAUAUAUAGAUUUUUAAA